rnacentral:lncRNA from 1 species
UACAAUUGGCUGCUCAAACACGAUUUUCUAUAUUGAUAAAAACUAGUUUUAGGUAUGAAAACAGGUCCCAUUGUAUUUUGUUCCAUUUCAAGAUGCUGUGUAGUUUCUUAUGAGAGUCGGUAAAUUUUGGGUCAGUGCUCUCCAUCCAAUUGUUAUCAAAACCAAUUUAUGAUGAAAGAAUAAUAUAUAGGUCCAUAUAAGUCAUUAUUGACGCCUUAAUGCUGGUUCAAUAUAACUUGUCAGAUAAAGAAUCACAAUUAAAGUUGAUUAAUUUGAACUCUAGGUAUUGCUUCAAAAUACCCGAUGGCUACCCUUUGGCAAAGGCAGCACCUCUUCUAUGCGCUGGAAUAACUGUGUAUACUCCAAUGAUGCAACACAACAUGAACCAACCUGGAAAGUCACUUGGGGUCAUUGGACUCGGUGGCCUAGGUCACAUGGCGGUGAAAUUUGGUAAAGCGUUUGGUCUUAAGGUCACAGUUUUGAGUACAAGUGAAUCAAAGAGACAUGAAGCCAUCAGCCUACUUGGAGCAGAUAAUUUUGUUAUAUCAUCAGACACACAGCAGAUGGAGGUACUAACCUGCACAUUGCAUAAUUUCAACAUACCUAGACACCUUGUACUUGUACUUUAUCUGUUUCAAAAUAUGAGACGUUUUAUUUUUGUCCUAAGUCAAAAUUUUCUAUGUUUUACAAAUUUAAUAGAAAAAAAAUGCACGAGUACCUCUAACACCAAACUUAUUUCAUUAAAUUUACCGUGAAAUGUGUCUUCAUGGCACAUUUAUUUGGUAUUGUAAAUGUUAAUAUAUUUUUCUAUAACUUGGUCAAAAUUAGAGAAAAUUGACUUAGGAUUAAAACUAAAACAUCUUACAUUUUGAAAUGGAGGGAAUAUACCCUGUUUGCCUUCUUAAUAAUAUGACACCAUCUUUUGGUGGGGUUCUUUUUAUUUCUUCAUUGUAUUACCAAAGAUACAAGGACAUCACAUUAUUUUUGUAUGGAAGGAACAAAUAGCGAAUCAGUAUCUUUCUCAUUUCAUUGUUUUGCUAUUUGACUUUAAAGUUCCAGCAGUCAGUUCUGUAUAUGACCAGGAUAGUUUUCUUAUGCUAUGUUUGUUCUGCUUUACCUGAAAACUGAUCGUGAAUAUAUGAUCUCUUGCUUUUGCAGUCCCUGAAAAACUCCCUGCACUUCAUAGUUGACACCGCUUCUGGUGACCAUCCGUUUGAUCCAUAUCUCUCUCUCCUUAAGGUUGGUGGUGUGAUGACACUGCUGGGCUUUCCAAGUGAGAUCAAAAUGCACCCCGCAAGCCUUCUUCUUGGUAAUUCUCUGUUUUGACACUGUACUGAAACAAACAUGGUAAUAGAAAUAAAUUAUUUGAAUUUAACCUGAACUGCUUUUUUAGGUGCGCGGGCCUUGUCUGGUAGUGUUGUUGGAGGUACAAAAGACAUCCAAGAAAUGGUUAACUUCUGUGCAGAGAACAAAAUCUAUCCAGAGAUCGAGAUCAUUAAGAUAGAUUACAUCAAUGAGGCUUUGGCAAGGCUUGUUAAUCGAGAUGUGAAAUACCGCUUUGUAAUUGACAUCGAGAACUCUUUCAAGUAGGAUGCGGGUUCACAUGCUCUCGUCUUUCUGUUGGUGUACAAGAGCAAUCACAAAUUUGAGUCAUAUAAAAUAAACUUGAUGUAAUGCUGCAGCGCAUUUACAAUUCUAGUCAUGUGUUAAUUUCAUUAUUGUAGUAUUUAUUCUCUCUCUCUCUCUCUCUCUCUCUCUCUCUCUCUCUCUCUUGGACUCAAUAAGACCAGCUGACAAUAGAGGUUGAAUAGAAAAUGAUACAAGAAACAGGGAAAAGGAGAGCUUUCACCCAAGCCGUUCCUUCUUGAAUGGAUGGCUUAGAUGCAAUGACUCCUUAUCUUGCAGUGGCAGCAGUGGCUGCAUAGGAUCUGUGUUUGUACCUGACGGUACUCGAGGUCGAGGGUACCUACUCGAUUCACAUUGAUUUGGUAUGGAAUCGAAUCUUGAUAGCACUAUUCACCAUAUUUUAAUUCGAAUACAAAAUGGAUAUCCCAAAUUUAUUUUCACAUUGGGAUAUCUACAAUAUUUUUAAGAUAGUGUUGAUAACACAUAUAAAUAAAUAUUUGUAUUAUACUCAAAUGUACAAAAAAUCAACAAAGCGUUAUAUAAAUGUUUCAAUACAUAUAAUAUUCAUCUAUAAUAAAAUAAAAUACUUAAAAUUAAGAUGAUUAGUCGUGUUAAAGUUAAGUAAACUUAACCUUUAUAGAUCAUUAAUUAUAUAAAAAUCAUCAUAAAUUAAACGUAACCUUUUUUAUUGGCCUAAUUAGUCAUAGAGAUAAAUUUAUAAAUAGUUUAAAUGAGUCGAUUAAAAUAAUUAUCAUUUACAAUGUCAACCAAUCAUAAAAGCUUUAGAUGGUACUUUCUUCAAAUACGGAUGAUGUUGAAUAUUUCAUAUUUUUUAACAAGAAUUUGAAAUCAAAUAGAGAAGAAACAUAUAAGGCCUUGUUUGGAUGUUAUCGGAUUCACUUCAAUUCAUAUGUGUUGGUGUGGAUUGGAGUGGAAUUUAGUUCAACUUUCACUCCAAUCCACCUCAACACAUGUGGAUUGAUAUGAACCCGACUACAUCCAAACAAGGUCUAAAGCGAAUUCAAAUACAUCCUUUUAGCAUCUAUAUUAAAUCGGAUGAAUACUCUAGACAUCCAGAUCUAUCUCUAACUAUCGAGCAAUGCGGGGUCUGCUUUGAGUCAAGGGUAUUCAACUGAAUAUCCAUUGUUUUUAUUAAACAAUUAGUGCUUAUAUUAUAUAUGUUGAACACUUUCAAGCUAUGAUCAGUUCUAUAAAUCUAUAUAUAAUGUUCAAUUAUAUGUUAAUUUUCUAUGUAUUAUACAAAUAAAGUUAGUACAAUAUGAAACACUAAACUUUAUGUUGUCAGAAAAAAGGUCUAUUAUCUUACUGUUUGGUCAAUCAAAAGAUGGUCCACGCUAACUCUCAAGGUCUAGAAAUUAUGAUAUUAUUUGAAGAAAAUAAAAUCAAAAUGUCAAUAUAGACAUCUAAUAAAUUAAGCACUACUAUCAAAAUGCAAAAAUUAGUCCAAAAUGCCCUCUUGCCCAUUAUGCUAUUACACGAUUGUACCAUUAUUAAGAAAAGCAUAAAACCAAUAAAAAAAAAGAAAGAAGAGUGAAAUGCGUUGUAGAUCCUUAAAAAAGAAAGAAGGACCGUCAACACAUUUCACUCAAGAAAGAAUAACAUAAAACCAACCAUGCACUAAAUUUAAGGUUGAAAACCAAAUGAUAUGAUAUAUGAUAAAAUACAAACAUUCAUGAGAUUUUUAAUAAAGAAUAAAGACAUACUCCCUCCACUCCCAAAUUAUAAAUCAUUUCAAGAAUCUUGUAGAGUCAAAGCAUUUUCAAGUUUGACAAAAAUUACAGAAAGAAAUACUAAAAUUUGUAACAUAAUAUGAGUAUACUGUGAAAAGAUAAUUAAGAAUGAAUCUAAUGAUACUUAGUUAGUAUCAUAAUAAUUAUUAUUUUAUCAUAUAAAUUUGGUUAAACUUAGGAUAGUUUGACUCUCUAAGGUUCUUGGAAUGACUUAUAAUUUGAAAUGGAAGGAGUAGUAAAUAAAGCAGAUGAUAUAUAAAAAAUGUCUUAUCCAUCGAUAGAUUUUAUAUAGUUAAAUCCGUCGGAUUUUUUAUAAAUACAACCGUCCCUCUGUUCCUGAAAGCUGUAACUUUUAAAGUUGUCCUAAGUCAAACUUUUAGAACUUUGACCAAAUUUAUUAAAAAACGUUAAGAUUUAUUGUACCAAAUUAAUAUCAUUAGAUUUAUCAUAGAAUAUAUUUUCAUAAGAUACUUAUUUUAUGUUAUAGAUAUUGCUGCUCUUUUCUAUAAAGUUGGUCAAAGUUAAAAAGGUUUAACUGCAUCGAUUCUAGGAGUUGAAGAUUUCAGAGAUAGAGGGAGGAGUAGAUAGUUGUAGCACAAAUCCUAAAACACAAUCAAAUAUAUACAAAUCUAACAUAUUUAGUACUAAAGAAAUCUAUCAACAGAUCAAUAGCAGAAGUCAUAUAAAAAUCAAAGAUCAGAGAAUAAUGAGCUACCUAUAUUAUGAGUUUUUUUACCGUGUUUGUUAUACUAAAAAAAUGUACAAGUACUACUAUUCCAAGGCACGGGUCUAAUUACAAGUUUUUUGUACCUUUAGAAUUCUGAAUAUACCGACGGUAGUAUUACUCGUAUGAUCCUCAUCCCAUAUUCCCAUUCCCAUUAACUGAAGGCUGAAGCUGAAGCCUGAAGGAAUGUUGGGGGAUGACCGCAUCCUUCCCCCUGGUAGCGUCUAAGGAUACCCUUUACCCGAGGAACCUCCGACUUCUGAAGCAUCGGAUGAUAUCCUUCAUCCAGAGAGCCUCUGUGGGAAUGCAUGCGGAGGACUCUGAAAAAAGACUGACGUUGAUGACUCGUCUCGUCAUGCUAAGUGUGUGCAGAGACUGACGUUGGCGGAGGCCCACAAGCGGAGAAAGGAGGAACCUCCGACCCUCCCAAGUCCGAGGAUGGCUAGGGACGCGACGGAGGCAAAGGACCUUCGACGCGUCCGGGCUAAGGAACCUCCGACGGAGAGGCGUCGAAGGAUCGGCGACCGAGCGGGCUGAGGAACCUCCAGGGCAACUGAGCCAGGGAACCUCCGACGUGCCUGAGCCGAGGAACCUCCGACAUAUGAGGUGUCGAAGGAUCUGCGAUCGGGCGGAGGAUCCGAGCCUCCGACCAGCUGAAGCCCUAGACAGGGGACCCGCGUGGGGUUUGUAAUGUGAAAUUACGCAGACAACUUAGGGCCAAUAGACUGUAAUAGGAGAAUAUGCCGAGAUAUUCCCCCACCGUCACGGGGCAUUUUUGUAAAUGUCAUUAGGUCGGUUUCUGAGCCCUAUAUAAGGGGCGUGAUGCCGUCAUUAACAAAGAGAGAGAGCAUUCAUUGUAUUCACCUACUGUUGAGCCCACUGUCCGUUACUGCUCAGCCUCUCACGGCACCGAGUGAGAAGGUUCUCGUUCAACCGUGUUGUUGGGGAGUGCGGUGAGCAUUUUCCCAACAUUGGCGCCCACCGUGGGGCUCGAAGGAUCACCUGCGAUGGCUGGAAAGAGAACAAGCACCACAAGACCUCGGGUAGAGCCCUCCAGGAGAGGAAGGCCGAGAAGGGCCGUGCGGAGCACGUAUGCGACCGUGGAGGGGGAAGGCUCUGAGUGCGAGCAGCCGGAGAACGAGCAGCCGGAGCCCGGCCAGGAACCUCCUCCCGCCGCAGGGCCGGCACAACCCACGGCCACGCAAGAGCUUCAGCUACUGCAGACGCAGCUACAGAACCUUCAGCAGGAGCGAGACCGAAUCGCUGCCGCCUACGCCACCAGCCAAGAGGCAGCAGUGGCUGCAGCGCAGGCGGCUGAGAACAGGCAGCAGCUUUCAAUCCUGCAGGCGGAGAUCCUUAGCAUGCAACCUCCACAGCCGACGAUCCAACCCACUGUUCAACCCAACGCCGGUCCGACAGUAAGUGCGCAGGUGACAAGCUACGGUGGCACGCUGAGGAGCACAUUGGACCUUCGUUCCCCCUUGUCCGAGGGAUUACAAACCUCACCUUGGCCGACAACCUACAAACCAAUCACGCUCCCCAAGUUCAAUGGAAAAGCUGACCCCCGCCAAUUCCUGAUGAGUUUCGAGGCAGCUGUAGCCUCAGCUGGAGGGAACGAAACUGUAAUAGCGAAAUCCUUUGUGAUCGCGGCCGAAGGAGAUGCCUUGGCAUGGUACUCGAUGCUCAGACCUGGGUCGAUCUAUUCAUGGGAGAACCUUCGAGACAAGAUUUUGGCAAAUUUCCAAGGGUUCGCUGUUGAAUCACUAACCUCCACGGACCUGUUCCAGUGUCGCCAGAGUCAAGGAGAAGCACUGCAGGAAUACUUUCAAAGGUUCGUGCAGACCAAGGCCAGAGCACCCGGCGUGCCGGAGGAGGUUGCCAUUGAGGCAGCUAUCAAAGGUCUUCGCAUAGGGCCUUUUGCAGCUCACUUGGCCAGAGAAAAGGCAGCAUCCAUGCACGAGCUGUACCAUGAGUUCGAGAAGUAUUGCAGGUCGGACAACGACUACCGCAAGAGGUUGGAGGACCAGAACUGUCAGAAGAAGCAGGGCAAUGACAGAAACUCGCAGAAAAAGAACCUUAGCGAGGAUGAACGCCGGACACAGCGAGAGACUGGUGGACAGAUGAUAAAUAUUGAGCAACCAAGGAAUGACAAGUCGGAACAUAACCGUCCAUCGACAGAACCGCAAAAUUCGGAGCGCGGCCCCAAUCAAGCCGGAGGAGGAGGUCGGAACACAGGAUGGCAAAAGAAUCAGAAGCAGCGGCCGCGGAAGCAAUAUUGUUUCUUUCAUGGAGAGGAAAAGGGUCAUUCCACUAGGGAUUGCCCGGAUGCAAAAGAAACUCAGGAGAGAAUCAAGAGCAGGUCAGCUCCACUACCUCCGCCACCGGUUGCUCAACCUCGGGAGGUGAAUCACACAUUCCCACAAACCUUCUACCAUUCGUAUGUCGGAGGAUCAAGCCAGCAGCACCCAGCUCCAAUUCAGCCCACCGCGCUAGCCUCCGCUUACUAUCCCAGCUUCCUACCAGCUUACAUUCCUCCAGCAACCUGCGGAUCACAACCUUCCACCAACCUACGUUCCUCCACGACCUCCACAGAUUACAUACAUCGAAACCCCACAGCCCCACCAGCAGUCACUACCUCCUCCCCCAAACCAGCUACAGCUACUCCAAGCUCCACCCCCACCAAAAACCGAACCCCACCCAGAUAAUCAGAUCGGCCCUCAUACACCGCUGCCUACGAUAGGAAUGAUCCUACCAAUAGCUGGAGGGUCCUCAAUGGAAUUCCAGACAAAGAAGCAGAAGAAGGAUCACCUCCGGCUCGUCAACAACUUCGCAGUUCAAGGGCCGGUCAGAUGCACUGAUUGGUCCAGAACCCCAAUAACCUUCACCGAGGAAGAUCUAAGGUUAGAAAGCUACCCACAUAUGGAUGCCAUGGUCAUAACAACGAAUGUUGCGGGUUGGGGAGUGAGGAGGAUCUUGAUAGAUUCAGGGAGUUCCACAGACAUAAUAUUUGCUGGAACCUUCGACCAAAUGAAGCUCAGCAGAAGCCAACUUCAACCUUCGGAAUCACCUUUGAUCGGAUUCGGAGGGAAGCAGAUACAUGCUCUAGGAAAGGUCGCCCUGCCCAUAUCCUUUGGCACAUCUGAGAAUGCGAGAACAGAGUAUGUUACCUUCGAUGUGGUAGACCUGCACUACCCAUACAACGCCAUAUUCGGGCGGGGGUUCUUGAACAAGUUUAAUGCGGCUACUCAUAUGAGAUACCUGUGCAUAAAAAUCCCGGCUCUGCACGGAGUGAUCACUGUUCACGGAAGUCAAAAGGUGGCAAGAAACAUAGAGAAAGCAAUCUACAAGUCUUUCCGGAACAUAAAUUCCGUGGACUCCACGCAACAAGAAGCUUCCCAGCCACCAGACAUGCCAAGGGGGAAGACAGACCUGGCCGAUCAGGAGGAAACAAAAUGUGUCCCUCUGCAGGAGGCCGUUCCAGAUAGGAAGGUCACCAUCUCCGCCACCCUCAGUAGAGAGGAGGAACUCGAGUUGCUGGACGUGUUGCAAAAGAACCAAGAUAUCUUCGCCUGGAGUGCCGCUGACCUGCAAGGAGUCAGCAGAGAUAUCAUAGAGCAUUCGCUGGACAUCGUUUCGAGAAUGAGGCCGAAGAAACAGAGAUAGAGGAAAAUGUCUGAAGAAAGAACCUUAGCCGUGAAGGCAGAGGUACAAAGACUUCUAGACGCGAAGGUCAUCAGAGAGGUCUUGUACCCGGAAUGGUUGGCGAAUGUGGUCCUGGUCCCAAAGAAGAAUGGUAAAAUGAGAAUGUGCAUAGAUUUCACAGAUCUCAACAAGGCUUGUGUCAAAGAUUCCUUCCCCUUGCCAAGGAUAGAUACCUCUGUUGACAAAGCCGCUGGUUGCCAGAGAUUUUCACUACUGGAUUGUUUCUCCGGAUACCACCAAAUUGGGCUCAAAAAGGAAGACGAGGGAAAGACAAGCUUCACAACCCCAUUCGGCACGUAUUGCAACAUCAGAAUGCCUGAAGGUCUCAAAAACGCUGGAGCAACCUUCUCCAGAAUGAUGGGGAAGGUUCUGGGAAGUCAACUGCAGAGAAACAUUAUAGCCUACGUCGACGAUGUUGUCGUCAUGAGCAAGCGCAAGGAGGAUCAUAUCAAGGACCUGCAGGAGACCUUUGUCAACCUCAGAUCUGCCGGACUGAAACUUAACCUGGAGAAAUGUGUAUUCAGGGUCAGCAAGGGAAAAAUGCUAGGAUAUAUUAUCAGCUCCGAAGGAAUCAGAGCUAACCCAGACAAGACAAAGGCAAUCAUGUCAAUGGCAGAACCUUCAAGCAAGAAAGAAGUGCAAAGGUUGACUGGCCGAAUAGCAGCCCUCAACAGAUUCAUUUCAAGAUCUGCAUAACGAAGCCUUCCAUUCUUCAAAGUGCUGAGAGGAGGAGGCAAAACAAAAUGGGGUCCGGAACAGUCAGAGGCCUUCAGGCAGCUCAAGAACUACAUUGCGACCAACCUGGUGGUAACUGUGUCCGAGCCAGACAUUCCACUACUGUUGUAUGUGGCUACCUCCGAGCACGCUGUCAGUGCUGUUCUGGUGCACGAGACAAGCGAUAGUAAGGGAACAGUGCAAAGACCCGUCUACUAUGUAUCCGAAGCUCUGUCAGGAGCAAAGUUGAACUACACGGAGAUAGAGAAAAUCGCGUACGCAGUCUUGUGCGCAUCAAGGAAGCUCAAGCAUUACUUCUAAAGCCAUGAGAUCAAAGUACCCACUUCACAGCCAUUGGGUGAUAUCCUUAGGAACAAGGAGGCCUCCGGACGUAUAGGAAAAUGGGCGGCUGAACUAUCACAGUUUGACAUCACCUAUGUCCCCAGAACCUCCAUCAAAUCUCAAGCCCUGGCUGACUUCAUGGCAGACUGGACACCUUCGAGCAAAGAAGAGGAGAAGGUAGUCAACCAGCUGUGGACACUAUACACAGAUGGCGCCUGGGGGCAGUCAGGGGCAGGAGCAGCAGCCGUUCUGAUCGCACCAUCCGGGCUCAAGCUAAAAUAUACCGCAAGACUCGAAUUCAAAGCAACAAACAACAUAGCUGAGUACGAAGGUCUCAUCCUCGGACUGAACAAAGCUAAGGCUUCAGGAGCAAAAACCCUGCUCAUCAAAAUAGACUCCCAGGUGGUGGCAGGACAAGUGGAGAAGGAAUACUUAGCACACAACCCCGAGCUGGCAAGAUAUCUGGCUGUUGUAAGGGGGCUGGAGAGAAGGUUCAAGGGGUUCACCCUGCAGUACAUUCCAAGAGGCGAGAAUUACGAGGCAGACGAACUAGCAAAAGCAGCAGCCAACAACACCCCCUUGCCAGAAGGAACCUUCUACCAAAUUGUUGCAGCACCCGCAACUGAAUCGUUGACGAAGGCUUUUCGCUCAGUCCUACUGACAGAAAGCGAGGAUUGGAGGCAGGCAAUAACUGACUCCCUCAAAGGCAAAACAACCGCAGAUGAUGAAGCAUUAACCAAGAGAAUGGAGGCAAGAGCAAGGAAUUACACCAUCAUUGACGGAAUCCUGUACAAGAAAGGUGUAGUCCAACCUUUGCUGAAAUGCAUAUCACGAACCGAGGGCAGUGAACUCCUGCAAGAGAUACACUCUAGGAUAUGCGGGUCUCACAUUGGACCUCGCGCAUUAUCCGCCAAAGCAUUAAGACAAGGCUUCUACUGGCCAACUCACAUCAAAGAUGCUGAAGAGAUAGUGAAGACAUGCAAAGCCUGCCAAACCUUCUCACCAAUUCAAACAGGACCUUCGGCACCAACUCAGCUCAUAUCAGCAUCAUGGCCAUUGCAAAGGUGGGGAAUGGACCUGGUAGGACCGAUGCCAACUGCCCAGGGGGGAAACAAGUUCGCCGUCGUGGCCAUCGAAUACUUCACAAGGUGGAUCGAAGCUAAGCCACUGGCAACCAUAACCCCUGAAACGAUCAAGAAAUUUUUCUGGCAGAACAUAGUCUGCAGAUUCGGAGUUCCAAGCUUGCUCACAGUUGACAACGGGAAGCAGUUUGAUUCGGACAGUUUCAAGGAAUUCUGCCACCACAUAGGAACCAAAAUUGCUUUCGCGUCUGUCUACCACCCAGAGUCAAACGGGGCCAUGGAGAGAGCAAAUAGAAUAAUAUUCUCCGCAAUUUCCAAGACCUUACUCAACCUACGGAAGGGGAAAUGGGUCGAUGAGCUACCCAGAGUUGUGUGGUCUCAUAACACAACAGUCUCAAGAGAACCUGGGUUCACCCCAUUCAAGCUCUUGUAUGGGGAAGAAGCAAUGUUGCUAGAAGAAAUCAAACACCAAAGCCUACGUUCAAUGAAGCAGCAAUUGGCUGAAGAUGAAGGGUACUGCAAGAAAACCUUAGAAUCAAUAAGACUCGAGGCAGUGGAGAACAUUACCAAGUAUCAACAAGAAACCAAAAAAUGGAGAGACCGCAAGGUAGUACGGAAAGACAUACGAGAUGGGGACCUGGUACUCAGGAAAAAAGGAGAUCACUCGAACACUGGUAAAUUGCAACCCAAGUGGGAAGGACCUUAUACAGCAAUACAAGCGGGAAGGUCGGGAUCCUUCUACCUAAAAGACCUCGAAGGUAGAACCUCCACCCACACGUGAAACGUCGACAAUCUAAGAAGAUUUUACAUUUGAGUGUAAGGAUGACCCCUGCAAAAUAAGCGGCGGCAUCCAUUUCUUUAGAUACAGUUAUUUUCUUUUUCUCUCUACUUCUUUUUGCAAUCCAAGGUCUGCACUCUUUUUCUCACAGGGGUACUCCUACUAGGAGGUGAGGUUUUUGACGAGGCAGAACCUAUGUAAAAACCUCUGAGAUAUAAAGAGGAAUCCACCCCAGAACCAAAGCCCAAAAGUCGAAAAACAGCCAGCAACGAGGCUGUAGCAUUCGACAAAACAUCACGUGAUCACAAGGACCCUCCGCAGCUUUCAGCCAAAAGCUAAGAAAGCUCGGAACGUCCUCAACGGUGGAAAAACACCACAUCCUUAGCAAAAGACCUGGCCAAGAGCCGGGCAGCAAGGAUAACAUGGUCAAAAGUGAAAAAGCCAUGUCCUCCUCAGGCAUCACAAAAUGGCCAGAAGGGACAAAACCCUCAAAACCUGACAAAGACCUGAAGACAAUCAGGCAUCAGGGGCUAUGCAACUUCUGCCAAAAGGCAGCAAAGGUUUCAUAUUUACAAGGUAAACCUCAAAAACAUUUACAAAACCUUCACCAAGAUAAGGUCGAAGGUAUCCUACUAAUCUAAGCAGGCCUCUAGGACACAUAGUGUGAAAACGAAGCAAAGCUACGACAAUCCUCAGUCAAGUAAAGCAGGACCAACUACUACAACAACCUCAACAACCAAUAAUAACCUAAUCGUAAAUCCCAACCUAACAAAGUACAUGCAAUAAAUGCAUGAAAAACAAUAAAACCAGGCACACCUCGCCCCCACCCUCAGUCAGGAUCAGUAUAGACAGCCCCAAGCAGCCAGUGCCAGCCUAGCAGUCACAAAGGAAGAAACCUAGGCCAUCAUGGAGGCAGGGGUUAGCCUCAUAGCAGUACCAAAAGUUGGUAUUGCACGAAGCUUCGUAAUGCUACAACCGCGGCGUUGUGAUGAACAUCGACCACAAAGUCGCGUACAGCCACAACAAAAGCACUGCAAGUUAGAAUCGGAAGUCUCUGAAGGGUAUCGCACGAAGUCUCGUAACAUCCCUUCAGAACCUACGACUCACAUACCCGAAGGUUACCCUCGACAACACUCCACGGGAGUUGAGCAAAGGCAUAUGUGAGCACAAUUCAACAGAGGCUCCUUCGCACCAAAAAAAACGAAGGCUCUAAGGUCAAGGAGCAGCAAUCCUGCGCAUGCGAAACGGCCACCAACGCCUUCGCAGCAUCAAACAUCAAGUAUGCACGCGCCACAGCAAGACAAAGAUCCUUAGGAUCCACACCACCGUGACGCUGCAAUGUAUAAUCGUUGUGUAAAAAAGCGCGAAGGUUGUAGUAGAAAUAUAACUAAGAGUGCGAAGACUGUAGCCAAAGUAAUGGUAAAAACAUCUGAUCUUUGUCAACUAUAAACAACUUACAGAACAAUAGUUUACAACCAAAAACGAAAAACAUCCUUCGACCGUAAAAAGUCGAAGGUUCUAAGACUCUCGCACAAUUUUUACAUAUGAAUCCGGCACAAGCCUAAACUCAUCGCAGUAAUCACGAGCAAGAAAAUCAACUAAUUCGUCAAUACUACGCGUAGGAAACUUAUGGCGCCACCAGUCAAUCAAAUAACCCCUCGCGUACAAAUCUCCGCGCUUGAACGUCACCGGGGUAACGUAGCUUUCUUCGACAAAAUCCGAAAGAAGAACAUCCCCUGGAGCAGAUCUGACAACCUGCGCAAAAAACAAACAAUUUCAAACCCCACCCAAGCGAAGGCUACAACUAAGACGUAUGACGAAGCUUCCGAACCUCAGGACGCCCAGGAAGAAAAGACUCAACCAAACCCUCAUGAUCCUCCGUCAACCAACAUAUACCAUCCUCCUCGCCAAAGAUGCGAAGGAUUGGAUACGACAACUGCAUAAACAUAUCAAACCAAGUCAUAAAAAACAAAUAUACCAAUAGCCUACGACGAAGGAAAAACAAAACAAAAACCACCACCUAAGCCGGAGGCCAUGAACCUCGGUACGCAAGCGACCGGACGAAUUCAGAUCGUUCGUCAUCAAGGUCAUACCCUAAAAACUCAAACAUGUCCACCACUCUCAUGUUAGGGAAAGCAAUCCGCCAAUAUUCCCACAACUCGCCAGAAACAUAAAUUCCUUUAUAGAAAAUUGAAAGCGGAGUCUCGCAAAGACCCUGCGUAGGUCCUCCGCCAGAGACCUGCGCAGGAUAAAAGCGUAAAGCAAAAAUUCAACCAAAAGACAUCUCCAUAUAUUACAUAUCCAACAAAAUAUUUACAAGUCAAGCCAAGACCUCCGGCCCUUACAAAAAAGCGUCGCAGGCGCAGCAAACGCAAAAAACGAAGAAAACCUACAAACUAAAAAACCUCACACCUGAGGUGGAAGAGGAGCAGAAGUCUCAGGCUGCUCUGAAGCCUUGGCACCAGAUUCCUCCGGAGCUUUGGCACCUGCUUCGUGAAUCUCUGCCUCAGCUUGGGUCGGAGGACAUGCUUCGCUAAAAGGGCGCGAGGGGCCAGGCUUGUCAGACUUAGCUUUCUUCUUGGCAAUCUCCUGCAAAACGACAAACUUAAGAGACACUGCAAAGUAGCAACACAGCACGCAAAACAAUAAUCAAAUCACACAUACCUCAGCGCGGCGAGCCUCCGCCAUCUUCUUCGCCUCAGCCCGCCCAAACCUAAUCCAGAACGAAGUGAUAAAGUUCCGGACUGAUUUACGCAGGCUCGAGGUGCCUUCGCCAACGUACCCCGCCGAUGCGAGUUCCUGCUUGGCAACCUCCUCCGCGUGAGAGCAACCUCCGCGGCGCAAAAGCCUAGCGAAGGAGCUAACCGUAGUCAAAGCCCCAAAAUCAACCGCUCCCCCGACAAAGUCAGGAAGCAUGCUGAUAUGAGACUUGAGCCAUGCAAGACUAGCCCCAACAUCACUGCUGGUCGGAGGAGAAGAGGUGCUACCGCCGAAUUGCGCCAGCGAGCCGGAGUAGAGCCCGAUCACAGCCGCAGCCUCUUCCUCCGCCUUCCGCAUGUGCUUUUGCACCACAGCAGUAGACGUCCGCUCGGCAUCAAGCUCCUCGCAGAGGCGGUCGGCAAUGCCCUCAGCCUUCUCGGCACGCUCCACAGCCAAGUCCUUCGCCUUGUCAAGCUGUGAAACGCUCUCGCGGAGGGUAGCGACCGAAGCUUCAACUUCUUCCUUCCCCUUCUUAAGAACCUCCGAUCCAGCCUUGAGCUCGUCCCUCUCCUUCCUUAGCGCCUCAAGCUCUUGUCGGACCAAAGAAAAUCCCCGGACCUCCUCCGACAGACGGACCUUCUCUGCCUCCAUGAUCUCGUUCUCCUUCUUCAAAGCACCAAUAGCUUCAUCAUGAUAGAUAACCUCUCGGGAGCAUCGCUCCUCCAAGGCCACAGCCAUGUGGUGACUCUACAAAAAGCAAAAAAGAAUCAAACCUCCAAUCACAAAACACAAAGGAAAAAUAAACAAUUUGAAAGCUUACAAGGCUAUGGUGCUCAAACUGCACGCGAAGGAAAGUAUCAAAGUCCAUAUGACGAAGCUUCUAACGAAGAUGAUCUAGAGAGCAAAAGAGGUAAGAAAAAACAUAAGAAAAUUUAAAAAUAUUAUCAGCAGCGGAGGCCAGAAACGAACCUCCGACCAAAGAAUGAAUCUCGCGCAGUGCGUCGGUCCAACCUGUGAUCGAAGGAUCAGAAGCACCUGCGCAAAAACAAAAGUAAAGUCAACACAAACCACAAGAAACCAAGUCAUUGAAACAACAAAAAACCAAAAAACGUCAGCAACUUACCAGGACCUAGAACAUUAGCAGGCGAAGGCCUACUAUCCAGCGCAGAGGGCGCAUGAUUCCGAGGCGGAGGAACUACAAGACCUUCCUGUGCUAUGCUGGCACCCUUAGCCAGUUCCUCCGCACUGGCUAACCCUGCGAUCACAUCCUCUAAAAAACAUAAAAAUAAUAUAAGACCGCGAUAAUCGAAGCACGCAGAAAGAUCAAAACCAACAACAAAUAAACGAACCUAUAUACAGCAAGUUGAUACCACCCACAGCAGGCCGCGGAGGAUCCUCCGCCCUCUUGAUCCUCCGAGCAGAGGCAGGCUCUGCAUCAUCACUAGAUUCCCCUGCAUCUCCUUCGGGGGAGAUCCUCCACCAGCAGGAACAUCCCGCGCAAGACUCUCCGCCAGCGCAGGAUUCGUCUCCCGCGCAGGACUCUCCCCAGGGGCCUCCGCGUCGGAAGAUUCCUCCCCAAGAAGCGACGCGAAAGGCGCCCGCACAGACGAGACCGCGCGGGAGGCUUGAACCUCAGGACCUCCACUAGCAGGAACGGCCUCCGCAGGAGCAGAAGCCACCAAGUUAGACUCGGCAGCAGAAGAGCGGGCGGAGGAAGACUCCACCGGAGCCUCCAGCACAACCUCCGCCUUGCGCUUCUUCGCAAGCUGCUUGACAGCACCACCACCCUUCCUCUUCUUAGCCUCCGCCGCAGCAACGGCCUUGGAGGAAUCCUUCUUCUUCUCCAAGCCAAGCAAAACAUCCGGAGGAACGAUGUAAUCAUCAUACUUAAUGCCCAACUCCUCGAAAACGCGAUUGAAACGCAGCAUAGUCCCAAGUGCAGACUUCCGCUGGAGAUAUUCCUUCUCCGAGAUCUUUCCAACUAUCCUCCAGGCAGAAACCUCCACACGGUCGAGGAAAGACUCCUCUGUCUCAUCCUCAGGCAAACCCACGUGAAACCAGGGAAAUGGCAGCCCCUCCGGAGGUCCAAAGACUCGCACUUGCACCAUUUCAAUGGUGAACUCGUCGGCCCUGCGGCCAAGGGGCCAAUAGUCGGCAGUGACCAUCUCCUCAACCAAAUCCCGACCUCCGGAGUGUCGGCAAGCCAGCGCAAAGGCCUUGUCGCAAGCCAGUCGUUCCUCCGACAUUGGCUGCGAAGGAUCAACCUUAGAGAAAGGCUUCAACUCCUUCAUCUGCGACACGUAAGGAUACACCUUAUCAACGCUACCGUCUUCCAGAGUCUUCGAUGCAGUGGGGGUCCUCACGUAGAACCAGGCCCUCGUCCAAUCCUUCUCCCACUUGCCCUUUUAGCAGUAGGAGAUCUCGCACCUUGGCCCAGGCAUUGUGCGGCGCGGCAUGAACGCGCAGCUUCCAAACUGCGCAAUGCAUUCAACUCCUUCGGCAUCCUUCACCUUUUUAGGCUGGCGCUGGAGCUCAAAAUAGGAGCAAAACGUAUCAAUGUGGGGCAUCGCUCCGUAGGAUUCGCAUGCCUACGCAAACUUGCUAAGCGUCAGAAUACCAUUGGGACUGAAAUGCUGUAGCUCAACAUUAAAACUCUCCAUCACUUCGCGAAGGAAAUGGUACGGAGGCAUCCGGAGCCCGCAGGUAAAGAAAUCCCUGAAAACCACUGCAUAUCCCUCUUCAGGCGCAGGCACCGUCUGACCCGCAGGAGGAGCCUUCGCACGACCCUCCUUGAAAAACCUAGCCAAAACCAUAUCAGCAAUGUCCUCCGUCCUAACAGUAGACUCACCAAACUCAAAAGUGAUUUCAGCCAUCUCCUCAAAUUCCUUCGCGCUGAUUAAAUCCCCAACGGAAGCUUCGACGUCAGACAACGACUCCUCCAGAUCUUGAGCUGCUGCCACCUCAAGCAUCCACUCCUCAAACCUCCGCAGCCAACCUCCGGACCUCACACUAAGUAAAUUGCGCAAAGGACCAGAAAAAUCUGACCUCGAAGGACGCGGCGGAGGAAGAUGAGCCACCUUAGAUCCUCCGACCACACUUGGAACUAAAAUCAACAAAAACGCACGCGAGAAGCUCAGAGAGCGAGAUGUGGCGAAGGAAGGUAUGCAAACAGCAGGCAGCAGGGGUGAGAGCCAAGAGCCCCUCCCCCACCCCCUUUUAUAAGGGGGGCCUGCGGCAACGUGACCGUUGCGAUUCUCCGCGCCCAACGGCUAUAAGCGGAGGAAUCGGCCUGACCGUUGCGAUUCCCCAAUGCCAACGGCUAUAAUAUCCUCCGCACUCUAACGCGCGAAGGAUAUCAGGCUAUCAGAACAACAAUGAUCGGAGGAUACUGGCAAAACAAACAAAACCAAGAAAAAUUAUGGCUAAGUAAAAGAAACAUUUUUCCAACACUGCUAACAAACACAUCCUGCGCACCAGGGGGGAAGGCAGCAACCAUGCUCGUAGCCUCCGCAGCGUGACAUGUUUUUGAGCACAUGGACCGCAGGAGUGCCAUUAGCCCAAAAAGGGGGGAACUGUUGGGGGAUGGCCGCAUCCUUCCCCUGGUAGCGUCUAAGGAUACCCUUUACCCGAGGAACCUCCAACUUCUGAAGCAUCGGAGGAUAUCCUUCACCCAGGGAGCCUCCGUGGGAAUGCAUGCAGAGGACCCUGAAAAAAGACUGACGUUGAUGACUCGUCUCGUCAUGCUAAGUGUGUGCAGAGACUGACGUUAGCGGAGGCCCACAAGCGGAGAAAGGAGGAACCUCCGACCCUCCCAAGUCCGAGGAUGGCUAGGGACGCGGCAGAGGCAAGGGACCUUCGACGCGUCCGGGCUAAGGAACCUCCGACGGAGAGGCGUCGAAGGAUCGGCGACCGAGCGGGCUGAGGAACCUCCAGGGCAACUGAGCCGGGGAACCUCCGACGCGCCUGAGCCGAGGAACCUCCGACAUAUGAGGUGUCGAAGGAUCUGCGAUCGGGCGAAGGAUCCGAGCCUCCGACCAGCUGAAGCCCUAGACAGGGGACCCGCGUGGGGUUUGUAAUGUGAAAUUACGCAGACGACUUAGGGCCAGUAGACUGUAAUAGGAGAAUAUGCCGAGAUAUUCCUCCACAGUCACGGGGCAUUUUUGUAAAUGUCAUUAGGUCGGUUUCUGAGCCCUAUAUAAGAGGCGUGAUGCCGUCAUUAACAAAGAGAGAGAGAGAGCGCAUUCAUUGUAUUCACCUACUGUUGAGCCCACUGUCUGUUACUGCUCAGCGUCUCACGGCACCGAGUGAGAAGGUUCUUGUUCAACCGUGUUGCUGGGAGUACGGUGAGCAUUUUCGAAGAAAGGGAAAGGGGACUGACGCAUGCGCUGAUGGUUCGGCCAGGCACAAUCAGCGAUGAACUCAUGGCUGGCGAGAAGCCCCGUAAGCUUGAUCCGCGACGUCACUGCUGUCGGCACCCUCUCCAAUCCAAUCCAUCCACCGGUCAACGGAGCAGGAUCCCGUCUGCGCCUUUCCAACUCCUUCCCCAUUUGUAAUUUGCUCACUCGCCGGCGGCCGCUACCUGCAACCCGGCGACACCCGACCGACAGCCUGCUCGCCACGCUUGCAUCGAGGAGAGUUCGGGGAGCGGCCGGUGCGGACGGAAUCGACGCAGGGGUCAGUCUUUUCCCCUCCCCUCCCCUGUAUUGCCCGCCUCGAUUCGACUCCAAGGGUCAACGAUUUUCAUUCUGCAGUUCAGUUCGAAUGGCCGCUGAAUCAGAGAACGGCAACUGCAAUGCAUGGGCAGCGAGAGAUCCUUCCGGAGUUCUCUCACCAUACACGUUUAACCGCAGGUGGCUUCCCCUCUCCUGAGUCCUGAUUUGGUGAAAAGUUGCAUCAUUUUUUAUCACUCUGAAUACUGUCUUCUUGCUUUGCUAGACGCCUAGACCAAUUUCUUUGGGAUAUUUAUGGAUUGUUUCCAUGCCUUUUUAUGUAUGUUAUGUUUGGUUUUCAGUGUUUUUCAUACCUGUUUUCAAUUGAGAGUAUGUAGCGUGGAACAAGUGGUGCAGCUAUUUCUGCUCGUUGUCUGUCAAACAAAAUCAUGGCAUUGAUGCUUACUGCGGGGCAUUGGGUGAACAUUUCAGGUCUGGUGGGAAGGAUUGCAGAAAUUUGAGUGCAAAUAGCAACAUGCUUGUCUUUUUCUUUUUCAGCUGGUUUAUUGGUUUCAUUUUCAUAACGUCUUCUUAUGAGAGCUACUAUAUGUGUAAUAAUUUUCAGAGCAGUGCAAAGCAGCGAUGUUGCGCUGAAGAUCAUAUACUGUGGAGUCUGUUAUGCUGACGUUAAAUGGACACGGAAUAUGCAGCAUGAUUCAAAAUAUCCUCUGGUUCCAGGGUAAGCGUUUUCAGAUCAAUACACUGGACCCCUCAGAGGAAACAAAACAUCAUAGUCAGGAGUGCCGAUUAAGUGUCCAAAAACGGUGCCUGCACUAUACUUCUAUAUAUAUUUGUCAAUGAUAAUAUGAUAUUGAUUUGUGCAGGCAUGAGAUAGCUGGAGUUGUAACUCAGGUUGGUGCAGAUGUCAAAGGCUUUAAAGUGGGUGACCAUGUAGGUGUUGGAACAUAUGUGAACUCAUGCCGAGAUUGUGAGAACUGCAAUCUCUCUCUAGAAAACCACUGCCCAAAAGGAGUUUAUACUUUCAAUGGCAUCGACGCAGAUGGAACUGUCACAAAGGGGGGUUACUCCACUCACAUUGUAGUCCAUGAAAGGUAUGGCAGCACCGUUUUAAUUGGCCAUUCAAAUGAGAUUUUUUUUUAUAUUGAUAAAGAACUAGUUUUAGAGAUGAAAAUAGGUUCCAUUGUAUUUUGUUCCACUGUAAUUUCAUUUGCCUAUUUGAUUUGAUCACAUUGUGUCCUAUUCAAGAUGCUAUGUAGUUUCUUAUGAGAGUGCGUAAAAUUUGGGCCCUUGUUGUCCUUUCAUCAAAAUGAAUACAUCAUGAAAGAAUAAUAUAUAUAUGUCCAUAUAAGUCACUAUUGACACCAUGAUGCUGGUUCAAUACAACUUCUCAGAUAAGGAAUCACAUUUUCUGUUGAUUAACGUGAACUUUAGGUAUUGCUUCCAAAUACCCGAUGGCUACCCUUUGGCAAAGGCAGCACCUCUUCUGUGUGCUGGAAUAACUGUGUAUACUCCAAUGAUGCGACACAACAUGUACCAACCUGGGAAGUCACUUGGGGUCAUUGGACUUGGUGGUCUGGGUCACAUGGCUGUGAAAUUUGGUAAAGCAUUUGGUCUUAAGGUCACAGUUUUGAGUACAAGUGAAUCAAAGAGAGAUGAAGCCAUCACCCUCCUUGGAGCAGAUAAUUUUGUUAUAUCAUCAGACACACAACAGAUGGAGGUACUGCCCUGCACAUUGCAUAAUUUCAACGUACCUAGACGCCUAGUACUUGAUGUCAGACGUUUUACUUUUGUCCUAAGUUAAAAUUCUCUAUUGUUGACAAAGUUAAUAGAAAAAUGCAGUAGUAUCUAUAACACCAAAUUUGUUUCAUUAAAUCUACCGUGAAAUGUGUCUUGAUGGUUCAUUUAUUUGGCAAUUAUAGAUGUUAAUAUAUUUUUCUAUAAUCUUGAUCAACACUAGAGAAAAUUGACUUCAGAUAAAACUAAAACAUCUUGCAUUUUGAAAUGGAGGGAAUAUACCCCGUUUGCCUUCUUGAUAAUAUGACUCCAACUUUUGGUGGGGUUCUUUUUAUUUCUUCAUUGUAUUGCCAAAGAUACAAGCACAUCACAUUAUUUUUUGCAAGGAAAGAACAGAUAGCAGAUCACUAUCUUUCUCAUUGUUUUGCUAUUUGACUUCAAAGUUCCAGGCAGCCAAUUCUGUAUAUGACCAUGGAUAGUUUUCUUAUGUUGAGAAUCAAGAUAACAGCUUUGUAAUGUCUGUUCUGCUUUACCAGAAAACUGAUUGUGCAUAUAUGAUCUCUUGCUUUUGCAGUCCCUGAAAAACUCCCUGCACUUCAUAGUUGACACCGCUUCUGGUGACCAUCCAUUUGAUCCAUAUCUCUCUCUCCUUAAGGUUGGUGGUGUGAUGGCAAUAGUGGGUUUUCCAAGUGAGAUAAAAAUGCAUCCUGCAAGCCUUAAUCUUGGUAAUCCUCUGUUCCGACACUACUAAAAAAAGGCGUGGUAACAGAAAUAAAUUAUUUAAAUUUAACCUGAACUGCCUUUUUUAGGUGCGCGGACCUUGUCUGGUAGUCUUGUUGGAGGUACAAAAGACAUCCAAGAAAUGGUUAACUUCUGUGCAGAGAACAAAAUCUAUCCGGAGAUCGAGAUCAUUAAGAUAGAUUACAUCAAUGAGGCUUUGGCAAGGCUUGUGAAUCGAGAUGUGAAAUACCGCUUUGUAAUUGACAUCGAGAACUCUUUCAAGUAGCAUGCUGGUUCACAUGCUCUCAUCUUUCUGUUAGUGUACAGGAGCAAUCGCAAAUCAGAGGCAUGUCAAAUAAACUUGAUGUAAUGCUGCAGCACAUUUACAAUUCUAGUCUGUGUUAAUUUCAUUAUCGUAGUAUUUAUCCCCACUUUCUUUUCUGUUUUUUUUUACUCAGUAAGACCGGCUGACAAUAGAGGUUGAAUAUAAAAUGAUACAAGAAAUAGGGAAAAGGAGAGCUUUCACCCAAGCUGUUCCUUCUCGAAUGGAUGGCUUUAGAUGCAAUGCCUGCUUAUCUUGCAGUAGCAGCAGUGACUGAUGUCGAGGCUACCUAUCCCGAUAGGGCUCGAUUCACAUUGGUUUGGUAUGGAAUUGAAUCUUGAUAGCACUAUUCACCAUAUUUUAGUUUGGAUCCGAAUAAAGAUACAAAAUGGAUAUCCCAAAUUUAUUUUCACAUUGGGAUAUCUACUAUAUUUUUAAGAUACUGUAGAUAACACAUAUAAACAAACAUCUGUAUUAUAAUCAAAUGUACAAAAAAUGAACAAAGGGUUAGAAAAAUGUUUCAAUACAUAUUAUUUCAUCUAUAAUAAAAUAAAAUACUUAAAAUUAAGAUGUUUUGUUGUGUUAAAGUUAAUUAAACUUAACCUUUAUGUACCAUUAAUAAUAUUUUAAAAUUAUCAUAAAUUAAACUUAACCUUUAUGAUUGGCCUAAUUAGUCAUAGAGAUAACUUUUAUAAAUAGUUUAAAUGAGUUGAUUAAAAUAAUUAUCAUUUACAAUCAACCAAUCAUAAAUAUAAGUUUUAGAUGGUACUUUGUUCUUCACAUACGGAUGUGUUGAAUAUUUCAUAUUUUUUGAACAAGAAUUUGAAAUCGGAUAGAGAACAUAUAAAGAGAAUUCGAAUAUAUCCUUUUAGCAUCCAAAUUAAAUUGGAUGAAUACUUUAGACAUCCAGAUCUAUCUCUAACUAUUGGGCUACAAUGCGGGGUCUACUUUGAGUCAAGGGUAUUCAAUUGAAUAUCCAUUGUUUUUAUUAAACAAUUAGUGCUUAUAUUAUAUAUGUUGAACACUUUCAAGUUAUGAUCAGAUCUAUUAGACUCCACAUGACAAACUCUAUGAAAUAGAUAUAUAAUAUGACAUGCUUUAGUUUAAUUUUUUUUGCCGUAUAGAUCUUUAUAAAACUACGUGUUUCUGUGUUUAAUUCACAAUUGCACCUCCUGUGUUUCAGUUGUGGUGAAAUGUUGAUGGUAAAAUAUUCAUUGUAUGCUUGAGCCAUGGUAAAAAUUUCAACUUUAGUGUAGCAUGUAUGACUAAGUUAUUGAUUUAAUGCUUGUUUAAUAGCUAAUGACUAGUUGAAACAUGCCCAUUAUUAUCUGGUGGUGUACCAAACAUUAAUUUGAAGCUGUGAUUUUGAUGGAUGAUAGAUGAUAACAAAUCAUAGCUACUAUCAACAGCCUACAUGCUCAGAAUUAGUAGAUUAAUUACUUCAAUAAAAACAAAUUUUAAUUGCAAGAAAGCAUGUGAUACAAAGAUAAAUCUAAAGAUCAACAUUUUCCGUAACAACUUGGUGAUGUUUAGUGUUCACAAUGCAUAACAACAUGGCAAUGGAACUAGAUUUCCAUUUUUACACCUUUUUAACUAUUUACUCAAUCAAUCCUAAAUUAUAAGACGUUUGACUUUCUUUGACACCAGGUUUGACGGCUUGUCUUAUACAAUUUUAUGUGCAAAAUGUCAUUUUUUUGUUGUGUCUUAGUUUAUUAAUAAAAGUUUUCAAGAAUGACCUAAAUUUGACUAUUUUUGCACAAUUUUUUUUGAAUAAAAUGAGUGGUCAAACUUAGGGUCAAAAAAAGUCAAACGUCUUAUAAUUUGGGAUGGAGUAUUAAACAUGCAUAAACCUAGGUAAAUUAAUAUUUCAAUCAUACAUGGUCCAAUGAGUCUUAAUUUUUUAGCAUAGCUAAAGCAUACAAUUAGUAGCCUACCAUAAAAGUUUUACCACAAUCAAAGCACAAAGAGCUACAAUUAUGAAUUAAACACAAAAACACAUAUAUCUACAGCUACAACAAAAAUGUUAAACUAAAGCAUGUCAUAUUAUAUAUCUAUUAUAUAGAGCUUGUCAUGUGGAGUCUAACAAAACUGAAUUUUCGUUUUUACAAAUUUUCUAUGAUUUUAUAGAAUUUUUUUAAAGUUUUAGUCAGUUUAUGAAAUAAAAAAGAGCAUGUGGGCCACAUCAGCAACCACAUUGGCAGGAGAGUCCUUCGUGAUUGGAUGGUGGCUAGGUUCUAGACAAAGUUUAUGGAUCUAGAUGAGCGAAAAAAGUUUAUGGACAUAUGUGAGAAGUGGAGAAAAGUUUAAGAACCCUCAACACAUUUGACUCAAGAAAGAAUAACAUAAAACCAACCACACACUAAAUUUAAGGUUGAAAUCCAAAUGAUAUGAUAUAUGAUGAAAUACAAACAUUCAUGAGAUUUUUAUAAAAGAAUAAAGACAUAGUAAAUAAAGCAAAGAAUAUAUAAAAAAUAAGUAUAUAGUUAUCUGUUGACAAAUUUUAUAUAGUAUAUUUUAUAAAUACGAACUAGUAGAUAGUUCUAGCCAAUCCUAAAACAUAAUCAAACACAUAGAAAUCUAACAUAUUUAAGGGGUGUUUGGUUGGAGGUGUUAAAGUUUAAUAUGUAUUAUAACAUUUUCGUUUUAUUUGACAAUUAGUGUCUAAUCAUUGACUAACUAGGCUUAAAAGAUUUGUCUGGCAAAUUACUUUCUAGUUAUGUUUUUAGUUUCAUAAAUAAUCUAUAUUUAGUACUUUAUGCAUAUGUCCAAACAUUCGAUGUGACGAGAGUUAAAGUUUAACUAUGGAAACCAAGGCCCUUACUAAAGAAAUCUGUUAACAGAUCAAUAACAGAAGUCAUAUAAAAAUCAAAUAUCAGAAAAUAAUGAUCUAUCUAUAUUAUGAAAAAAACAAGCGUUCAUGAGUUUGAGUUUUUUUUACCGUGUUUGUUAUUUACUAAAAGAAAACUACAAGUACUUUUAUCUGUUCUAUUUACAAGGCACGGGUCUAAUUAUAAGUUUCUUUUACCUUUGAAAUUCUUAAUAUUCCGACGGUAGUAUUAGUCGUAUGAUACAAUACUCCCAUUCGGCCAUUCCAUUAGCUGAGGCCUUGUUUAGUUCCUAAAAAGUUUUGCCAAAUUUUCAGAUUUUUCGUCACAUCAAAUUUUACGGCAUAUGCAUGAAACAUUAAAUAUAGAUAAAAAGAAUAACUAAUUACAUAGUUUAACUGUAAUUUGUGAGACGAAUUUUUAAAAUCUAAUUAAUCUAUAAUUAAAUAAUAUUUGUCAAAUACAAACGUGGUAUAAUGCCUAUUUUACUAAUUUUUUUGAAACUACUUCCUCCGUCCCAUAAAUAAUUGCAUUUCUUUAACUUCUAUAGUUUAUGUUUGACCGUUCGUCUUAUUAAAAAAUUUUUAAUAAAUAUUAUUUAUUUUUUCAUGACUUAUUUUAUUGUUAGAUAUAUUUUUUAUGAUAAUUUAUUUAUUUUAUUAUUUGUACAAAAAUUUAAAUAAAAUAAAUGGUCAAACAUUACUAUUAGCAGUCGAAGAAAUGCAUUUAUUUAUGGGACGAAGAGAGUAAACAAGGCCUGAAGCUGAAGCCUGAAGGAAGAAAGGGAAAGGGGAUUGACGCAUGCACUGAUGGUUCGGCCAGGCACAAUCAGCGAUGAACUCAUGGCUGACGAGAAGCCCCGUAACUCCGGAAGCCAGGUCCGCGACGUCACUGCUGUCGGCACCCUCUCCAAUCCAAUCCAUCCACCCGUCAACGGAGCAUGAUCCGGUCUGCGCCCUUCCAACUUCUUCCCCAUUAUAAUUUGCUCACUCGCCGGCGGCCGCUACCUGCUGCAACCCGGCGACACCCGACCGACAGCCUGCUUGCCACGCUUGCAUCGAGGAGAGUUCGGGGACCGCCCGGUGCAGAAGGAAUCGACGCAGGGGUGAGUCUUUUCCCCUCCCCUCCCAUGUACUUCCCGCCUCGAUUCGACUCCAAGGGUCAGCGAUUUCACUGCGCUUUUCCUUAGCAUAGGCUAUCUGAAAUUUCCUUCUGUUAGAGCCGAGUCUUUCGAUCUGCUGACUUGUCACGAAUUCAUUCUGCAGUUCAGUUCGAAUGGCUGCUGAAUCAGAGCACGGCAACUGCAAUGCUUGGGCAGCGAGAGAUCCUUCUGGAGUUCUCUCACCAUACAGCUUUAACCGCAGGUGGCUUCCCACCCCCCCCCACCCCCCCCCCCCCCCCCCCCCGCGUCUCCUGAUCUGGAGAAAAGUUGCGUCAUGUUUAGCACUCUGAAUACUGUAUUCUUGCUAUGCUAGACUGUUUCUUUGGGAUAGCUAUGGACCGUAUUGUUUCCAUGUCUUUCUGUGUACACGCUAUAUGUUUGGUUUUCAGUGUGUUUCAUACCUGUUAUCAAAUGAGCAAUAUCUUGGUGUGGAGCAAGUAGUGCAGCUAUUUCUGCUCGUGGUCUGUCAAACAAAAUCAUGAAAUUGAUGCUUACUAUGGGCAUUGGGUGAACAUUUUAGGUCUGAUGGGAUUGCAGAAUUUUGUUCAACGUUGGCAGGAUCUGCCUUUUAUUAUUAAAAAAAUAAGGGAAGCGACCUAAGUCAACAACUAUACAGAUUGAUUGCAGAAAUUUGAGUACAAAUAGCAACGUACUUGUCUUUUUGUUCAGCUAGCUUGUCUGUUUCAUUUUUUAUAACGUCUUCUUAUGAGAGCUACUAUGUGUAAUAAUUUUCAGACCAGUGCAAAGCAGCGAUGUUGCGUUGAAGAUCUUAUACUGUGGAGUCUGUUAUGCUGACGUUGUCUGGACACGGAAUAUGCACCAUGAUUCAAAAUAUCCUGUGGUUCCUGGGUAAGCGUCUGACAACAAUUUAGACUUGUAUCAGGGAAGGGCAUGUUUCUUAUCAAUCGCGAAUUGCAUUUCAAGAUCCAACUCUGAAUUGACCAGGACUAGUAGUUUUACUAGGUGUUCUAAUCUAAGGGGCAGAAUAUGACUAAUAGUUACAGACUAACAGCCCAGAUCAAUACAUUGAACCCCUCUAGAGCAAACAAAACAUCAUAGUCAGGAGUAUCGAUUAAGUGUUUGCCCAUUGUCCAAAAAUGAUGUCUGUGUACUAUAUAUUUGUCAAUGAUAUUAUUCAUUGGUGCAGGCAUGAGAUAGCUGGAGUCGUAACUCAGGUUGGUGCAGAUGUCAAAGGCUUUAAAGUGGGUGACCAUGUAGGUGUUGGAACUUAUGUGAACUCAUGCCGAGAUUGUGAGAACUGCAAUAGCUCUCUAGAGAACCACUGUCCAAAAGGAGUUUAUACUUUCAAUGGCAUUGAUACAGAUGGAACUGUCACAAAGGGGGGUUACUCCACUCACAUUGUAGUCCAUGAAAGGUAUGGCAGUACUGUUUUACUUGGCUGUUCAAACAAGACUCUUUUUAUAUUGACAAAAGCUAUUUUAGGGAUGAAAACAGGUUCCACUGUGAUUUCAUUUGCCUAUUUAAUCACACUGUGUCGUGUUCAAGAUGUUAUAUACUUCUGUAUGAAAGUAAACUCUGGGUCAUUGCUGUCCAUAAAUUUUCAUCACAAUCAAUACAUGAUCAAAGAAUUAUAUAUGGGUCUAUAUAAGUCAUUAUUGACACCUUGAUGCUGAUUCGAUACAACCUGUCAGAUAAGGGAUGGCAUCUUCUGUUGAUUAAUUUGAACUUUAGGUAUUGCUUCCAAAUACCUGAUGGCUAUCCUUUGGCGAAGGCAGCACCUCUUCUGUGUGCUGGAAUAACUGUGUAUACUCCAAUGAUGCGACACAACAUGAACCAACCUGGAAAGUCACUUGGGGUCAUUGGACUCGGUGGUCUAGGUCACAUGGCAGUGAAAUUUGGUAAAGCAUUUGGUCUGAAGGUCACAGUUUUGAGUACAAGUGAAUCAAAGAGACAUGAAGCCAUCAGCCUCCUUGGAGCGGAUAAUUUUGUUAUAUCAUCAGAUACACAGCAGAUGGAGGUACUGCUCUGGACAUUGCGUAAUCUGAACGUACCUAGGCACCUCGUACUUCAUCUGUUCCGAAUAUGAGAAAUUUUAUUUUUGUCCUAAGUCAAAAAACUCUAUAAUUGACCUAGUUUAUAGAAAAAAGCACUAGUAUCUACAAGACCAAAUUUAUUCCAUUGAAUCUCCUGUAGAAUGUGUUUGGUAUUGUAGAUGUCAAUAUAUUUUUCUAUAAACUUAGUCAAAGCUAGACAAAAUUGACUUAGGAUAAAACUAAAACAUCUUACAUUUGAAAGGGAGAGAAUAUACCACGUUUCCCUUCUUGAUUAUAUGACACCAUAUUUUGGUGGGGUUCUUUUUGUUUCUUUAUUUUAUUGCCAAAGAUGCAAGCACAUCACAUUGUUUUCACAUGGAACGAACAGAUAGCAGAUCACUUUCGUUCUCAUUAAUUUGCUACUUGACUUUAAAGUUCCAGGCAGCCAGUUCAGUAUAUGACAUUGGAUAGUUUUCUUAUGCUGAGAAUAAAGAUAACAGCUAAGUACUGGCUGUUCUGCUUUACCUGAAAACUGACCGUGAAUAUAUGAUCUCUUGCUUUUGCAGUCCCUGAGAAACUCCCUGCACUUCAUAGUUGACACCGCUUCUGGCGACCAUCCAUUUGAUCCAUAUCUCUCUCUCCUUAUGGUUGGUGGUGUGAUGGCAAUUGUGGGCUUUCCAAGUGAGAUCAAAAUGCAUCCUGCAAGCCUUAAUCUUGGUAAUUCUCUGUUCUGACACUCUGUACUAAAAAGAAACGUGGUAUUAGAAGCCAAAUUAUUCAGAUUUAACCUGAACUGUUUUUUAGGUGCACGGACCUUGUCUGGUAGUGUUACUGGAGGUACAAAAGACAUCCAAGAAAUGGUUAACUUCUGUGCGGCGAACAAAAUCUCUCCAGAGAUUGAGAUCAUUAAGAUAGAUUAUAUCAAUGAGGCUCUCACGAGGCUUGUUAACCGAGAUGUGAAAUACCGCUUUGUUAUCGACAUCGAGAACUCUUUCAAGUAACAUGCUGGUCUACAUGCUCUCAGUCUUUCUAUUAAUAUACUAGAGCAAACACAAAUGUGAAAGUCAUGUCAAAUAAACUUGAUGUAAUGCUGCAGCGGUUUUACGAUGCUAGUUAAUUAAAACCCUGUGGCAUGGGCGUCAAAUAGCAAAUGUAAACAUCCAUAGUUGGACAGCAAGGGGAGAUAAGUAUAUUGUGACGAUAAAGUCGCUCUAUGAAUAAGGCAUCAUGUCGAUGUGUUCCACAAUAUUUCCUAGUGCAUGUAUGGCGGUGGUCAGUACCAUCACUUUCACAUCCGGUUGAAUACAUGCCAAUUGGAGAAAAAAAAUUGGAUGGAUACUAUCUCCACCGUACUCCAUUGCAUACCACCCUCGAUCUGCUGCCAAUCUCAUGGAUCCAGUAACACUCAUCAGCCUGCUUUUCGUGGGCGUACAUGGGCCAGGUCAAUCAUGGAUCAGUACAGGUGGACGAAGAAAAAUCAAGAGCGUUUGAUUAUUUAGACAGGACACGUGGUGGUAGAUCAAGGGCAAUAUGCACUGAAACACGGUGGAUACAAUAUCCAUCCAUUUUUUUUUCCAUCAAUCGACGUUUCUGGUUAACCAGUUCACUGUUAGAAACCUGUAUCAUGGUUGGGCUACUUAGUUGGCAAGUGGCUUGCUAAACCUGUCUCGGCUUGGCCCAGUCUAGUUCAAUCCUGUUCAUUGGCUAACCAAGGCAAUGAACAUUUAUACAGUUAUCUUGGUCAUUGUUCAAGACCAUGGAUUGCUCUUUCUAUUUGUUUCGAAAACUUGUAAUAAUUGGCUGUGUACAUCUCUGGAUGUAGAGGCCGGAUAUUUAUAUCUAUUAUCUAAAAAAUAUUUUUAGCCUUGUUAAAAACCAUAUCAUUUCUCUUCGACCAUAAUGCCCAACAAAGUGGAGCUGCUCUUAGCAAGAUUUGGUUUUGAGCUUAAAAUUUAAUUAAAAAGCCAAGAACCAAACAAAAUUAGCAAAGCUAGUAGGAGGUUGAAUUCCAAAAGUGAUGCACAAUAUUCUAAACAAAGCUCGUGAAGUGACAAUCAAAGAACAAAUGUUGGAUAGUUUCAACGGAUCUUUUUUUUUGCGAAGAGAAGAGGGGUUAUAUUAAAACUCGGCAUAGUACAUCCCCAAAUUACACAUAAAAUAUUUGAAAAAAUACAUAAUGUUCUAUCCAAAUUCUUCUAUUGUCAUCUUCUCCAAUGGCUUCCCUCAAAUGCCAGAGCCAAAGUACUCCCUACGUCCUAAUACAUAAGGCGUAACUACGUUCGUGUCCCAUAAUAUAAGGCGUGUCUUCUCACAGACAUUAAUACGAUAAUACCAGUGUGGAGAGAGAGAGAAUUAAAUGCGUUCUUGGUCUUUAAACCAGAGGUGGUUACGUCUUAUAUACUAGGACAGAGGGAGUACUGUCCUUAUGCAGAAUUCAACGACCAACUCUAAAACAUUGGACAUGCCACAAGAUCCAACGCUUCAGAACUGGUCCAAAACUUAUCUGAAUCGAUGAAAGAAUAUUGGUAGUUGCAUCAUUGGGUAGAACAUAGGAGGUAGAUUUAUCACCUCCGUGACCAUUGACGAUGAGAUCGAUGAUCCGGAGUAGCUGUCCUCAUUGGGAGUGCCUAGAAGCACCUCUCCUCUUGCAGAAAAGGCCAUUGAUUGGCUAUUUGCCGACGAAAUCGGCGUCUGCAAUGGUGAUCUCAUCGUGGCAAUCACCAAAGUCAUCGUAGGAAUCACGAUCCCAAUCGAAAAUCAUAUGAUUUUGUCGAAAGAUUUAUCAGACUAAAUCCUAAGAUCUAGAUAUAAAACUACAGGAAAAAGAAUAGAACUCCUCUUCUUGUCCCUGACAGACGCACUGGAGAGGAAGAAUUAUAGGAGUCCUGAGCGCAGCGACAGCAAGGAUCUGGGAUUCGCCAUGAAUGGGCCAAACUUUGGUGAGAUUGGCCCAAUUUUGGUAGGGCCGGAGAGGAAUAUAAACCGGCCAAAAAAAUUCGGUCCAAUAUAAACGUGAACCAAAGUUAUCUCCCACGGCUAUUAAACGUGAACCUCAUCCUAAAAACCCUAAUCAUUUAAUUUCUUCCUCUCCCUGGGUGGCUGGCCGCCGGCCGCCAGUGGCAAAGCUCCUUAGAUGUUGAAGCGAUGCACUCGUCCAUCUCCCUCAUCCCGUCCCCUCCUUUGGUUUUCCAUUGCUCAACUUUAUUCUUGAUGAGUCCCAUGGUCAGGAGUAGGGAUGAAAACGGUACGGAUAUUUUCCGACCGUAUUCGGAACCGAAUUCGUUUAGAGAGGUAUAGAUCUGUCCGUAUCCGAGUCCGAAUGUUUAACAUCCGAUACCGUAUCCGUAUCCGAAUACUAAAAUCGUAUAUUUAUGAUGUCGACAUCGAAUCAUAUCUUAUCCGAUAUGAUUGACACUAUCUGUAUUCGAAUCCGAAUCCGACCAGAAAUAUGAAAACAAAUAUGAUAUCGGUGAUAUCCGUCCGUAUCCGAUCCGUUUUCAUCCCUAGUCAGGAGGUACAACACACUCAAGUUAGUGCCGACCAUGUACGCAACAGUAGCUUGGUCGGCACCACGAUGACGUCGGUCACCGGCACCGGUGGUUAAUGGCUCAAGGCAUCAAUGACAUCACUCAGUGUGGGAUGCACAAUCCACCAACCAUAGAUGCAUUGGCAAGGGCUGUAGUACCAUUGUUUUCAAUUUCUGUCAAAAUUUGGCCAAAUUACGAAAUUUUUGACUGGUCAAACAAGUGAAUCCCGGUCCGAAUUUUUUAAAAUUUGUCCAAUUCGGCAGGCACCAAUUUUUUUAGAUUUUGAAUUCCAAAACCUUGAGUGGUGGUGGUGAGGAACAGCAAAUGCGACAGGCGGUGUGGUGGCGGUGGCUAGUAUAGACCCUUUGCGACGUGCCCGUUGACACGUACUACAAACAAGCGGAUAGUUUCAACAGAACACUCACACUUCAUUCCAAUUCUUUUUUGCUAAGUUAUCUUUAGUCAGAGUGACACCUUUUUGUAAGUACCAUGGGAAAAUCUUAAUUUUCACCUUUUCAGUUGUACCUGUAGUUUCUAUAGUGGACUUUUAUUGACAAUAACUCCUUGCCGGAUCAGAGUUCUAUACUAAGGUUCUACUAAAAGACAUUUUUUCCAUUUGUAAGGCCUUGUUCAGUUGGCAAAAUUUUUUGGUUUCAGGUACUGUAGCACUUUCGUUUGUAUUUGAUAAAUAUUGUCAAAUUAUGAACUAAUUAGGCUUAAAAAAUUUGUGUAGCAAAUUAUAGACAAACUGUGUAAUUAGUUUUUAUUUUCGUCUAUAUUUAAUACUCCAUAUAUGUGCCGUAAGAUCCGAUGUAACGGAAAAUCUUAAAAAAUUUUGGGUACUUUUUAGAAACUAAACAAGGCCUAAGGUGAACUUGGCAUAUGCAGGUGCCGAGACAUGUCACUUCGACGCCAUAGCCUGUGGCACCGAUCCCUAGGGUCUAUAUUCAGGAAUAGGUCUCCUCUAGUGUAAAUGUGAAUAUUUUUUAAAAAUAGUUAAAAUAAAAAAAGAAGUCAGUCGACGCAUGCUCACGGGCCACACGAGACAGGUUGAGAUGAUGCGACGUGGAAGACGGCAGCUAUAAGGGGAAGGAGACCGAGGCAUCCAUGGCUGCUAGAUGAGUCUUUGAGAUCACCCUUGGAUAGAGCCGAUGAUGGCUCCAUUGUACAGAGCGGAUGGCGGCAAAGAGGAAGGAUAUCAGAAUUGUAAAGAAAGAUACUCCAUCCGUCUAAAAAAAAAUCAAUUUCUAGAAUCAAUGUCAGUCAAACUUUUUUAAAUUUUCUCACGAAAGAGUAACAACAUCUAUGACACAAAAUAUGCAUCAUAUGAAAAUAUAUUUUAUGAUGAAUCUUAUGAUACUAAUUUGAGACCAUAAAUCUUAGCAUUUUUUAGAAAUUUGGUCAAAGUUUUAAAAGUUUGACUUAGAACAACUCUAGACAUUGACUCUUUUAUGGACAGAGAGUAGAUGAAAUCAUGGCUGACGAGGAACACCGUAGUUAGUUAAUUCAAUUAGCUACUAAUGCGACGUCACUGCUGCCGCCACGGCCAGCCUCAAUCCAGGAACAUGAUCCAGUCAGCGCCCUUUCUUCCUUGCAUCCUGGCGACAGCUUCCUUGCCGCUCAGGCUACGGUUGCGGUCUAUGCCCUACUAUAAAUAGCGCACUCGCUGUUGGGCGCUCCCUGCAUACACAGCUUGCUUGCCGCUCUUGCAUCGACGAGAGUUCGAGGGAGACCAGCAGGUGCGGAAGGAUUCGACCCGGAGCCGGAGGUGAGUCUUUUUUUCCCACUCCCCGCCUGUAUUGAGUAUUGACUGCCACGAUUACAGUCUGGUAUAAUGCUGUGACUAGAGCCCUAGACUCGACUCAAAGGGGCUAGUUGAAAUGUCGCCUGCUUCGGCGGUUAGAGCCUUAGAGGCAGCUGAGUAUUUCGAUUUAUUGACUUGCAACGAAUUGAUUCUACAGUUCAGACGUCCAGUUCACAACUUCAAAUGGCUGCUGAAUCAGAGAACAGCAACUGCAACGCUUGGGCAGCGAGAGAUCCUUCUGGAGUUCUGUCACCUUACAGCUUUAACCGCAGGUGAAAAAGUUGCAAAUACUGUCUUCUUGCUAUUCUAGACUAUUUCUUUGGGAUAUCUAUUGUUUCCAUGCCAUUUUAUGUACCUUAUGUUUGGUUUUCAGUGUCUAACAUACAUGCCUGUUUCCAAAUGGGCAUUGUCUUGUGUCAUUGUGUGGAACAAGACAAGUAGUGCAGCUAUCUCUGCUCGUGUGGUUUGUCAAGCUAAAAUCAUUAACUUGAUGCUUACUAUAUAUGGGGCAUUGGGUGAGCAUUUUAGGUCUGAUGGAAUUGCAGAAAGUCUCUGUAGAGGCCUCGGCCUCUCCAGUUUCCUCAAAAAAAAAUUGCAGAAAUUUGAGGGCUAUAAUAGCAACAUGCUUGUCUUUUGGUUCACCUAGCUUAAUGGUUUCAUUUCCGUAACGUCUUCUUAUGAGAGCUAGCUAAUAUGUGUAUAUAUAAUAAUUUUCAGAGCAGUGCAAAGCAACGAUGUUGCGCUGAAGAUUAUAUACUGUGGAGUCUGUUAUGCUGACGUUGCUUGGACAAGGAACGUGCUCAAUGAUUCAAAAUAUCCUUUGGUUCCUGGGUGAGUGUUUUCAGAUCAAUACAUUGAAUCCCUCAGAGGAAACUAAACAUCAUAGUCAAAAUCUCAUAUUUGUCAACGAUAUUAAUUUGUGCAGGCACGAGAUAGCUGGAGUUGUAACUCAGGUUGGUGCAGAUGUCAAAGGAUUUAAAGUGGGUGACCAUGUAGGUGUUGGAACAUAUGUGAACUCAUGCCGAGAUUGUGAGAACUGCAAUAGCUCUCUAGAGAACCACUGCCCAAAAGCAGUUUAUACUUUCAAUGGCAUUGAUACAGAUGGAACUGUCACAAUGGGAGGUUAUUCCACGCACAUUGUAGUCCAUGCAAGGUAUGGUAGUACUGUUUUAAUUGGCAGUUCAAACAAGAUUUUUUUAUAUUGAUAAAGCUAUGUAGUUUCUUAUGAGAGAGAAAAAUUUUGGUUAUUGUUGUCCAUCCAUUUUCAUCAUAAUCAUUACAUGAUGAAAGGAUAAUAUAUAGGUCCAUAUAAGUCACUGUUGACACCUUGAUACUAGUUCAAUACAAUUUCUCAGAUAAGUGAUCACAUUUUCUGUUGAUUAAUGUGAACUUUAGGUAUUGCUUCCAAAUACCUGAUGGCUACCCUUUGGCAAAGGCAGCACCUCUUCUGUGUGCUGGGAUAACUGUGUAUACUCCAAUGAUGCGACACAAUAUGAACCAACCUGGAAAGUCACUUGGGGUCAUUGGACUCGGUGGUCUGGGUCACAUGGCUGUGAAAUUUGGUAAAGCAUUUGGUCUGAAGGUCACAGUUUUCAGUACAAGUGAAUCCAAGAGAGAUGAAGCCAUCAACCUCCUUGGAGCAGAUAAUUUUGUUAUAUCAUCG